rnacentral:rRNA from 1 species
GCUGGAUUCGCUAGUAAUCGCGCAUCAGCCAUGGCGCGGUGAAUACGUUCCCGGGCCUUGUACACACCGCCCGUCAAGCCAUGGGAGUCGGGAGUGCCUGAAGUUCGUGACCGUAUAGGAGCGACCUAGGGCAAGACUGAUGACUGGGGCUAAGUCGUAACAAGGUACC